rnacentral:misc_RNA from 1 species
UAGCAACAAGUUUAUUGUUGUCAAUGGCCGCCACAUUCUAAAACAGUUUCUUUGUUGACAGUUCUGCUGUUACACACAAUUGUUAUUUUGUCUCUUUUUACAGCACAGUAAUAAAUAACUAACGCAAGAUGACGGUUAGCUUAGAAGAAUAUUUCCGCACGACAUUUGAGGACAAGCUCCUUGUAAAAAUGCCGGAGCGGGAAGAUGAUCACCUGACUCCGGCAACUCGUCUGCUUGAGAAACGUCGCGAGAUGGCCGAAGUAGAACAAGCUUUGGCUGCUCAGAAAGAGGAGUUCCAAAUGAAAAUGGAGAGUCUGCAACAAAGGAGGGAAGAACUAGAGAAGAAAGAAUACCAGCUGAAAGAAUCACUUCUGAAAUUUGAUAAAUUUCUAAAAGAAAAUGAUUCUAAAAGGGCCCGUGCUGUCAAAAAGGCAAAUGAUGAAAGGGAAAUGAAGAAGCACAAGGAUAAGGAAAUUAUAAAACUUAAAGAAGAUACUAGUAUUGUUCUCAAAGAGAAAGAAAAAUUGCAACGCAAAUUGGUGAAAUACGAAGUUUACCACAAAUACAUGGAGAAAGUUCUGGAGUCGGGAGAGGAGUUCCAUGAACUACGAGACAUCAUCAUGAGAUAUGACACUCUGACCGCCACACACCAGGAUCUUCUAGAGAGAGAACUACAGAAUCAAGAGUUCAUAGAGAAUCAGAGGCAGCAGUUGAUGAAAUACAGUGAGGGUAAAGACAAUGAGAUUCUUGGCUACAACAACCAGCUAUCCGGCCUGCAGACGAGACUCGACAAGGCCGAGAGCCUGGCUGUCAAGUGGGAGUCCAAGUGGACACACAUCAAGAACACAGCGGCCAAGAAAACCUUGUUACUGGGCAGAAUAAAAAUGGCUACACAUAACUUGUAUCAGAUUGUGAAGAAACACCAGAAGCAGGCUGCCACUGACGAAGACACAACAGAACAACUUCACCAGGUCUUUGUAUUUAUAAAAGAUGUCGACGUCAUCUUGAUCAACAUGAUGAGGGAUUUGAAGCAUACUUUGGGUGUUCGCAAGCAGUCAGAAAUUUAACUUUCAUCAAACCAUUUUUUUUAUUUAUCAUCCAUAAAUAUAAACAACAGAUCCAGACAUUCCUGAUGGACCUCAACCAGAUUACAGCUGAGAUCAAGAAGAUGGAACAGACGGGAACCUCCAUUAUUCCUCCUUCCUCCAGCUAGUACACACAGUCAGUCUCAUUGCUAGGUUGUCACACUUUGAACUUGUUACCAGUGUCCGCCCAGUGUCCAGCUAGCAGAACAAACAUAGGUCAUUUUCAUCCUUGGUCAAUUGUUCACUACAUUAUCUCGUGUCAUGGUAAUUUCACUACGGGAUAUAUAUUAAAAUGAUUAAUUUAGGCAUAUUCAGUGUGUUCAAUAGUAGACAUUAGGUGACAAUCUUCGGAUGCCAAUGCUACUGCUGCAGAUGCUGCCUAUUGUUCAAGAUUACAAUUGUGCACCUUACAUUAAAUAACGCUGUUUGCUUUUCUCAAAUGGCUUCCUAGUUUCUAAGAUAAUGCACACCCUGAUAUAAUAUAAAUGACCACAGUUGAAAGCGACAGAUGAGAAAAAGAUUGUGAAUGAUCUCUUAUACACUUGUGGCUAAACAUCAACUUUGACCUUUGUCAGCUAGUAGAUAUGAAAUACCAGCUGUAAUUCACUUACCUGGGCCCGUGCUUAUAAAACCUUUAAGAGUCCAGACUCAAUCUCUAAUGACGUCACACGCAUACAAUUUGUAUGGUGUUGUCAUGACAUUAGUGUCUCAAACUCUAUCAGAGUCUUGAGUCUAGACUCUAAAAGGUUUAUAAGCACCAGGCCAGUCUGUGUGUUCUUGUUAUUUGUUGUACUGUAAUUGAGUAUUGGCCUUCAGUUGGUUCUUGAAUUAAUCAUUUCAGUUAUCUGGCACUUAAUUGUCUUCAUUGAGAUUUCUUUUCUUUUCUUUAUUUAUAUCUUGUUUUUGUCUUUCUUUUUAUUAACAUUGGUAAAUAUCUGAUAUCAACAUCCUUUGAAUAUCAUAUGCAAACCUUUCUGCAUCAAUGUCUCAAGUUAAAUUUCUUGCACAGUAAUUAGUAUAUUCGUAAUGAAUAACGAGUAAUGAUAAAUUUAAUAGGCAUAAAAGCUAAUGGAAUUCAAAUUAAAUAAUUUGAAAUUCUUUUGUUGUUCAGUAUGUUUAAUUGAAAGUUUUAAAUUUUAUUGGUAAUGACUAAGGUCAGACCUAAAUUUAUUGGUCUUUGUUUUUUAGGAAGUAAAACUUUACAAUCCAUAGUAAAUUCUAGUUUUGUAGAUGACUGUUCACACACUGUUUUCAGUACUCAGCCUUGCUUUCCAAAGGUCUGCUGUUUUGUUAACAAGUUUGUUCUGGAGAUAUCUGUUAUUUGCAUUUGUUUAAUAGUUAAGGGGGAAUCACAUGAGUGUACAAUAUCAAAUACAAACAGCUUAAAUAAUUGAUUGAAACAUAUUUUAUUGUUUGAAAACAACAACAAAACAAAUGUAUUGAAAACAAGAUUUCCAAAUAACUAGGCCCUGUCCAUUCUAGUUUCUACUAUAUUAUGUACAUUAAUAUUUUACAAUAUGGAAUUUCAAUAAAUAAACAAGCGACAACAAAAGAAGAAAAAUUACAGUUAGUUUGCUAAUCUGACCGCAUGGUUCUGACAGGUAAAACAUAACAUAUAUGGUAUCACAGUUAUUAUUACUGAACCUGAAAAUGUGAUUUAUUGAAACCAUUUCCUUUCAUAACAUGAACAAAAUAUUACUUCAUUAUUUCCAUCAGUGAUUCAAGGAAAAAUGUCUGAUAAACACACACACACUGUUUAACAAUAGUGAUUGCAUAUGAGUUUGUAUAUGACAGUAGUACUCACUCUGAUCUCCCACCCCACCCCCCAAAAAACCCCAACACAAAGGUAGAGGACAACCAUCAAAUUGAUCUUUAGACAUGUGACGCUAUUUGUAACUUGUCAUUACCUCGAACAACCUGCAAUUUUGUUAAAAAUAGAACACAGUCUGUUCUAGUCAGCAUAUGAGCAAAUAUCAUGAUAUAUGUUGCACCUAUUUGACAGUACAGCAUUUUGUCAUCAUGCUACACAUUGAUGCAUGUGUGUGUGAGAUUUUUGUACUCCAUAGCAAUUCACGUUUUUUUAUUUGGUUUUGUUAUUUAAAACGACAAUAAAUAUCUUGCUUGCAUCAUGUUAUUUAUUUAAUAUCCUGGUUCCAGCGCUGUUUUAAUAUUUUCAAUUCUAAAUACACUCAGUUAUUUUCAGGUCGUAAACCACCCAACUCAUUUUCUGAUCAAGUUUAUUUCUUUAGUCUGUUUGAAUCAAAAGGGAACCGAUUGAAUAAUGGCAGAAUUGCAAUUACAGUUACUUUAUCUUGACUGUACCAGAUUUUGCCUUCAUCCCUGUAUAUAUAAAAGGAGAUUUACCCUAUGCAAUUCGAUGGCAAUUUGUAAAGAAAUUAACCUUUUUAUUUACCCUGAACAUUUUUGUUUAUGCAAGUUGGUGUGGGUUUAAAACUGAAUUGUAUGUUUCUAUAGAGGUUUAGCAUUAUUCAUUUUAUAUUUCCAUGCCAAUUCCUUGGUUCCCCUUUGAUGUAAACACUAUAUAUGUUUGCUCUUUUUAUUAGUGUACAUUGACAUUAUGAUAAUAAUAUUGUGGGUUUUUACAUUUAAUAUUAUGUGGCAGAAAAAAAACCGUUCUUCAAUGUGUUUGUAAAUAAAUAUUGUUACUGUU